CGCGUAGGUGGUAGUGCAAGUCUGAGGUGGAAUCCCAGGGCUUAACCCUGGAACUGCCUUGGAAACUGCACUACUUGAGUCAGUGAGGGGAGGGUAGAAUUCCUGGUGUAGCGGUGAAAUGCGUAGAUAUCAGGAGGAAGGCCGGUGGCGAAGGCGGCCCUCUGGCGCUGAACUGACACUGAGGCGCGAAAGCGUGGGUAGCAAACAGGAUUAGAUACCCUGGUAGUCCACGCCCUAAACGGUGGGUACUAGGUGUAGGGCUCGUAAGGGUUCUGUGCCGAAGCGAAAGCAUUAAGUACCCCGCCUGGGGAGUACGGCCGCAAGGGUUGAA
rnacentral:rRNA from 1 species